ACUGGUUCCUCUUUCAAAAUGCUUAUGCAUAAUCACAAAUAGAUUUCUCUGAUGUAUAAUACUGAAAUCAUUUAUCAGAUGCGGAGAAGCUAAGUAUCAUUUACUAGAAGAAACAAUCAUAAACCCAACUAAAUCCAUAUUGAUCUACAGAAGCCUCUAGCUUCAGACCAUGUAAGAAUUACAGCAACAGUGAUCCUACCAUGGUAACAAGUAACUUAAAGCCUUCAAAUACAAACUGAUAAUUAUUCGCACAAUUCCUGACCAUGCAAAGCAUUGUGUUUUGUUGGAUAAACAGAAAAAAAAAAAGGAACAGUCUUCAACAGUAAGAGUUGCAUUACUUUCUAUACUAAUACGUUGUCUCCUGGUAUCCACGUAGCUUGUUACUAGGGAACAGGAAGAAAGGCCUGCAGAGCUUUCUUAAUGUUCCAGUUCUGCAGUAUAUCUCGGUGCCAUCUGGAUGUUGCCUACAGGUUGGUAGCUAUCCAGACUGGUGAGAGAGUAGGAGAAAGUCAGUUGCUGGUGUUAUGCCCAUAGUGGCAUAAGACAAGCAGCCAGUGCUCUAAGCACAGAGAAUGAGUAACGGAAUGAGUAACUAAUAAGCCUAGAAAUCCAUCGCCUUUAGAGUUUCCAAAGCUGCAUCACAGGCUCUGCAAGCAUUCAUACCCUCAUGACUUGGCAACUAAAAGACACAGAAGGAAUAGCAUCUGUAAAAGCACCAGAAUUCAGUGAAAAAGCAAAGGUUCCUACAAGUAAUCCAAAUGCCACGUGCUCAAUGGCCUCAGCUAACAACUGGCAGUGCUUUUGCCGACACAGCAAUUUUCAGUCAGAAGACCUGAAAAUAAUUGCAAGCACAAAAGCCCUCAACAUGAAAGUAUUCCAGACACGAAGGCUUCACGGCACCUUGGAGGAAUACUCAUAUGACAGAUGGGUAGAUUAAUUCAGUUGCAGGCCAGGCUAUGGACUUCAUUCUGGCCUGUUUGUUUGCUCUUUUGAUCAUAGAACCAUAGAAUGGCCUGGGCUGAAAAGGACCACCAAGAUCAACUAGGUUCCACCCUCCUGCUAUGUGCAGGGUUGACAAGCACAACACCAGGCUGCCCAGAACCACAUCCAGCCUGGCCUUGAAUGCCUCUAGGGAUGGGGCAUC
rnacentral:lncRNA from 1 species